GCGAACAUAGCUCAGUUGGGAGAGCGUCAGACUGAAGUCAACUUCAAUCACUUAAUCUGAAGGUCGUGUGUUCGAUCCACACUGGUCGCA
rnacentral:tRNA from 2 species